rnacentral:rRNA from 1 species
UACGGAGGGGGCAAGCGUUAUUCGGAUUUACUGGGCGUAAAGGGUGUGUAGGCGGUCGUGCAAGUCUGGUGUGAAAUCUUCACCACUCAACGGGAAGAGGUCACUGGAAACUGCAUGGACUUGAGUUUGGUAGAGGCUAGCGGAAUUCCUGGUGUAGCGGUGGAAUGUGUAGAUAUCAGGAAGAACACCUGUGGCGAAGGCGGCUUCCUGGACCGGUACUGGACGCUGAGGCGCGAAAGCGUGGGGAGCGAACAGG